rnacentral:rRNA from 1 species
UACGGAGGGUGCGAGCGUUGUCCGGAAUCACUGGGCGUAAAGGGCGCGUAGGCGGCUUCUCAAGCGUGUGGUGAAAGUCCGGGGCUCAACCCCGGAUCGGCCGUGCGGACUGGGGAGCUCGAGUUCUGUAGAGGCGGGUGGAAUUCCGGGUGUAGCGGUGGAAUGCGUAGAGAUCCGGAAGAACACCGGUGGCGAAGGCGGCUCGCUGGGCAGUGGCUGACGCUGAGGCGCGACAGCGUGGGGAGCAAACAGG